AAAACACUUUUCCCAAAACACGGUGCAGUAUAAUGUGGACCUGAGCAAACAGCCCGCUCUGCUAGGGUUGAGGAGAAAUGUAAAAGCUUACAGCACCUGGUAUUCCCAGGCGGUCUCCCAUCCAAGUACUAACCAGGCCCGACCCUGCUUAGCUUCCGAGAUCAGACGAGAUCGGGCGUGCUCAGGGUGGUAUGGCCGUAAGCGAGAGCAGAGAGUGACAGGAGCUCUUUUAAGCUUGGCAAGCCACGCCGUUGCAUCCACUUGCCUGAAUGUGGCGUUUAUAAAGGACUUAGAACAUUUUGGGAGGUACACAGAAGGUGGCCAUUUUGGCCUUAAACACAAUAUCCCCUUUCUUGUAUUUCGCUGUCCCUUUAAACAAAACAACUAGAAAGAAGCCAAAAUCAUUACUUGUAAUGUGUCACCGACCAUAGGCAUGAACUGUGAACAAAGCAAAGGCAGCACUGUGACUGAAAACAGAAAAUUCUUGCAGGUAAUAGCGUCUGUUGUCUAAGAACGAUGCAAUUAUAGAGUUAACAAAUAAUUGAACAAUCUAGGUAAAAUGUCAAAUACAUAAAACAGAAGUAAUAAAACAAUAGCUAUUAAUUGCAGAAGAUAGGUCAUAAAUCAUAUAAUAACUGCAUAGAAAUAAGAAAAAAAAACACUUUUCCCAUAACACGGUGCAGUAUAAUGUAGACCUGAGCAAACAGCCCGCUCUGCUAGGGUUGAGGAGAAAUGUAAAAGCUUACAGCACCUGGUAUUCCCAGGCGGUCUCCCAUCCAAGUACUAACCAGGCCCGACCCUGCUUAGCUUCCGAGAUCAGACGAGAUCGGGCGUGCUCAGGGUGGUAUGGCCGUAAGCGAGAGCAGAGAGUGACAGGAGCUCUUUUAAGCUUGGCAAGCCACGCCGUUGCAUCCACUUGCCUGAAUGUGGCGUUUAUAAAGGACUUAGAACAUUUUGGGAUGUACACAGAAGGUGGCCAUUUUGGCCUUAAACACAAUAUCCCCUUUUUUGUAUUUCGCUGUCCCUUUAAACAAAACAACUAGAGAAGAAGCCAAAAUCAUUACUUUGUAAUGUGUCACCGACCAUAGGCAUGAACUGUGAACAAAGCAAAGGCAGCACUGUGACUGAAAACAGAAAAUUCUUGCAGGUAAUAGCGUCUGUUGUCUAAGAACGAUGCAAUUAUAGAGUUAACAAAUAAUUGAACAAUCUAGGUAAAAUGUCAAAUACAUAAAACAGAAGUAAUAAAAACAAUAGCUAUUAAUUGCA
rnacentral:lncRNA from 1 species